GCGUGCGUAGCUCAGUUGGUAGAGCAACUGACUCUUAAUCAGUGGGUCCGGAGUUCGAACCUCCGCGCGCGUACCA
rnacentral:tRNA from 1 species